rnacentral:misc_RNA from 1 species
AAGUCGUAACAAGGUUUCCGUAGGUGAACCUGCGGAAGGAUCAUUAACACGUAUCCACGUAUCAACCAACCGCGAACUUGUUUUCAACUCUCCCUUUGGGGCACAUGAAUUGGCUUUAACUGAUACAGAGUAGUGAGUGGGGCUUUCGGGCCAGCUCUGUUCAGUGACUGAGGUGAUUCGUCACUUCGACAAUUGUAGUGUUCCGGAGGCAAACCUUCUGUUACUUUCAUCUCCAUUCAUGAUCGGAGUAACGGGAAAACUAUUAACCUAUUUCACCCCCUUUUUGCUAGUUGACUUUAUUAUGUUGUUAUCAAUUUAGGUUAAUUCCUUAUUGAUCUCACACGUUUAAUUACUUAAACGAUAGAACAACUCUUAGCAAUGGAUAUCUUGGUUCUC